GGUUAAGUUAGAAAGGGCGCACGGUGGAUGCCUUGGCACUAGGAGCCGAAGAAGGACGGGACUAACACCGAUAUGCUUUGGGGAGCUGUACGUAAGCGUUGAUCCAGAGAUUUCCGAAUGGGGGAACCCACUAUCUUUAGUCGGAUAGUAUCCUUACGUGAAUACAUAGCGUGAGGAAGGCAGACCCAGGGAACUGAAACAUCUAAGUACCUGGAGGAAGAGAAAGAAAAAUCGAUUUCCUGAGUAGCGGCGAGCGAAACGGAAAGAGCCCAAACCAAGAAGCUUGCUUCUUGGGGUUGUAGGACACUCUAUACGGAGUUACAAAAGAAAGUUAUAAAUGAAGCGGUCUGGAAAGGCCCGCCAAAGACGGUAACAGCCCGGUAGUUGAAAUGGCUUUCCCUCCAGAGUGGAUCCUGAGUACGGCGGAACACGUGAAAUUCCGUCGGAAUCCGGGAGGACCAUCUCCCAAGGCUAAAUACUCCCUAGUGACCGAUAGUGAACCAGUACCGUGAGGGAAAGGUGAAAAGCACCCCGGAAGGGGAGUGAAACAGUUCCUGAAACCGUGUGCCUACAAGUAGUUAGAGCCCGUUAAUGGGUGAUAGCGUGCCUUUUGUAGAAUGAACCGGCGAGUUACGAUUUGUUGCAAGGUUAAGCGGAAAAAGCGGAGCCGUAGCGAAAGCGAGUCUGAAUAGGGCGCAUAAGUAACAGGUCGUAGACCCGAAACCAGGUGAUCUACCCAUGUCCAGGAUGAAGGUAAGGUAAUACUUACUGGAGGUCCGAACCCACGCACGUUGAAAAGUGCGGGGAUGAGGUGUGGGUAGCGGAGAAAUUCCAAUCGAACUUGGAGAUAGCUGGUUCUCUCCGAAAUAGCUUUAGGGCUAGCCUCGAGGUAAAGAGUCAUGGAGGUAGAGCACUGUUUGGACUAGGGGCCCUUCUCGGGUUACCGAAUUCAGAUAAACUCCGAAUGCCAUGUACUUAUACUCGGGAGUCAGACUGCGAGUGAUAAGAUCCGUAGUCGAAAGGGAAACAGCCCAGACCACCAGUUAAGGUCCCCAAAUAUAUGUUAAGUGGAAAAGGAUGUGGGGUUGCUUAGACAACCAGGAUGUUGGCUUAGAAGCAGCCACCAUUGAAAGAGUGCGUAAUAGCUCACUGGUCGAGUGACCCCGCGCCGAAAAUGUACCGGGGCUAAACAUAUUACCGAAACUGUGGAUGAACCUCUUUAGAGGUUCGUGGUAGGAGAGCGUUCUAAGGGCGGUGAAGUCAGACCGGAAGGACUGGUGGAGCGCUUAGAAGUGAGAAUGCCGGUAUGAGUAGCGAAAGAAGGGUGAGAAUCCCUUCCACCGAAUAUCUAAGGUUUCCUGAGGAAGGCUCGUCCGCUC
rnacentral:rRNA from 1 species